GUCACAUGUUGUUUGUUUACAAGCGCACAACAACCGGAGACUAGUGAGUCACUUUCACAUCCAGUAAAACUUGUAUGGAAUUCACAACUAAAUAUUUGCCAGCUAAAUAUCUUAUAACUAUUCAAUUAACUGUGUAAAAUGUGGUAAAUACUCUGCAGUUCUGCAUUUGGUUUGCUAACUUAGUAGCUAGUUAGCUAAGUGGUUAGCUUCUUGCAAAAUCAAGCUUCUCUCGGUAACAGCAGAGAAUUCCUGUCCUGGAUCAAGAUCCUUGCCGUCUGUUUUGUGCGUGCAGAAAACUUGACGUGUGAUCUGGAGGAGCACACACAGGUGUCUUAACGCGGGGAGACGGAGUGCACUAACUCCGCACAUCAGAAUGCCAAACACCACCUAAGGGAAUUACCCAGCAUUCCUGAGUCAGGCCUGGUUAGAGGAGUGGAGAAGGAGGCGAGGAAGAGAGGGAGAGGAAGAAGAAGAAAAAGAGGAGAUGAGGAGAGCUCAGCUUUGAUCUCCUUUAAGAGGAGCAGAAACACUAGGGUGAGGGAAGGGGCUAAAGCGGCUGUGUUUGUGUGUGAGUUUGUGCGAGUGCACGUUUGUGUAUUUGUGCAUGUGCACACAUUAGUUUGUGUGUGUGUGUCUCUGUGUGCGUGUGUGUAUGUCAGCUUUAUCUGCACUAUAGUCCUGGCGUCUCACAGACGGCUGCAGAGGAUUGAGCUACUCCGGUAAAACUGCAAAUCUGUUCCUGUUCUAUUAAUCUAACAGUGUAACUGACUGACAUCAAGUAUAAUGCCUGGAUUAAGGCUCUUCUGCAAGGUAUUAAGAGACAAAAAUGUGCUUGUCUAAGAAACGUUCAGGGCAUCGACUACCCUCACCACUUCUCCUUCCUCUGUCACAACCUCUCUGUCCAUGUCUUUCUGUCCCUCUUUCUUUAUGUCUGUCUCUCUCUUUCCCUCCUCUCUUCUCCUCCGUCUCAGACUCUGUCUUUCUCUCUCUCUCUUUCUCAUUCUCUUCUUCCGACUCUCUCUCCUCCCCAUCUCUCUCUAUUACGAGUUAUAAAAGCAAGGUAUCACAAAAAAAGUGUCUCUAAAAUGUGUCUGAUUUAAUUCAACCUCCACCUGCCCCUCUAACCUCCAUCCGUCCCUCCAUUCCCCAUCCGCCCCUUGGGAACCUUCAGCUCGGUCUGAAGCCCCAGACUGAGGACAGACAGAUAGGGACUGGAAGGAAUAAGAACAAGACCUAACAGAUGGCAACGCUGUCAGAGAGGCAACUGGCACUGUGUGUGACGGGGUGUGGAGGGGAGUGUGUGUGUGAGGGGGUGUGUGUGCGAUUGCAAGCUUUGUAUCUCAUCUUUUUCGGCUCCCUGACAAUAAAUUCUGUCUAAAUACAAAUGAAGCCCCACCAUCUUUCUCUGACAUUCUUUUGUUUCUAGGUGAAACCAAAUUACUCAUUCAUUUUCACAACCAUCAUAGGACACACACCUUGUGGUUUCUGUGCUCACCACCAGUGGUGGAAAAUGUACCCAAUUGUCAUACUUGAGUAAAAGUAAAGAUACCUUAAUAGAAAAUGACUCAAGUAAAAGUAAAAUACUACUUGAGUAAAAGUCUAAAAGUAUUUGGUUUUAAAUAUACUUAGGUAUCAAAAGUAAAUGUAAUUGCUAAAAUAGACUUAAGUGUCAUAAAAGUAAAAGCAAAAGUAUAAAUCAUUUCAGAUUCCUUAUAUUAAGCAAACCAGAUUUUCUUGAUUUUUUUUAUUUACGGAUUGUCAGGGGCACAUUCCAACACUCAGACAUCACUUACAAACGAAGCAUUUGUGUUUAGUGAGUCUUCCAGAUAAGAGGCAGUAGGGAUGACCAGGGAUGUUCUCCUCAUACUGUAAGUGUGUGAAUUGGACCAUUUUCCUGUCCUGCUAAUCAUUCAAAAUGUAACGAGUACUUUUGGUUGUCAGGGAAAACAUAGGGAGUAAAAAGUACAUUAUUUUCUUUAGGGAUGAAGUGAAGUAUAAGUCAAAAAAAUGAAUAGUAAAUUAAAGUACAGAUUCCCCCAAAAACGACUUAAGUAGUACUUUAAAGUAUUUUUACUUAUGCACUUUACACCACUGCUCACCACCCUUGUGAUCAAUGUUCUAUGAAUGAAAGCAUGAACACAGAGUUCCUUUUUGCUGGUCAGUUUGUGCUUUAGUUUAGCAAACUCUUUCGUGCACCCUAAUGAAUGACGGACAUGUUGGCAAAAGCACAUAAAAUGACAGAGUGACAAACACACCUCUUCUUUCCUAAGAAAAUAAAGUGGGAGACCAAGGUUUGCUCUCUGUAUGGAACCAUUCACUAGUUGUGUCCACGUUUUUUCCCUGUGAAUCCUAGAGGGCCUUGGCAGACAUGUGACCAUAGUUAUGUAAUGGAGGUCGAACACGCCACACACACACCAUACACACCAUACACACCCACACCAUACACACCGUACAAACACCAUACACACCCACACAUGGUAUGUAUAGACCGUACACACCCACACAUGGUAUGUAUAGACCGUACACACCCACACAUGGUAUGUAUAGACCGUACACACCCACACAUGGUAUGUAUAGACCGUACACUCCCACACAUGGUAUGUAUAGACCGUACACACCCACACAUGGUAUGUAUAGACCGUACUCACUCACACAUGGUAUGUAUAGACCGUACUAUGUUGUUUGGAUUCCAGGCUACACUGUCAGUACUCACAGUACCAGUCAAAGGUUUGGACACACCUACUCAUUCAAGGUUUUUCUUUAUUUUUACUAUUUUCUACAUUGUCGAAUAAUAGUGAAGACAUCACAACUAUGA
rnacentral:lncRNA from 1 species